UAAAAAGUAUAAAAUUCAGGUAGUAUUGGAUGACUUAAAACUUAAAAAAUUUGGCGGUGUUUUAAUCUUAUUAGAGGAACCUGUUUUAUAAUCGACAAUACUCGACAAAUCUUGCUUGGGUUAAUUACUUGUAUAUCGUUGUGAUAAUAAUAUUUCAUAACCAUUAUUGGGAGUAAUUUUAUUUUUGAUAUCAGAUCAAGGUUCAGUUUAUGCCUAAGUGAAAAAUAGGUUACAAUAUAGGAAUAUAUUACGAAAUUUAUAUUUUAAAUAUAAAUGAAGGUGGAUUUAAAAGCAUUUUUAUAGUAAUGUGUUAAUUUGAAUUAGCUCUAAAACAUGU
rnacentral:rRNA from 1 species